rnacentral:lncRNA from 1 species
AACUUCCCACUAUCCCGCACAUUUUGUACUCCGCAUCGCACUGCUUAUCCUCUGCCAUUUUUUUGCCCAUUAGCUCAGUGUGCUCAAUCUAUCUCACCGCGAUAUGUCUGUGCUUCGUUCCAUUCCGUCCCAAAACCGCCGUCUCCAUGGUCGGUCGCUACACCCAACCUGCGCCACUCUCCGCCCAGUGCUCGGUUCGUUCCCCGAACAUUUUCGCUCCGGUCGCAGCACAAAAUACAGCCUCACGUACCUCACCGGUCCGACCAACGAUGCCAAAGCUAUUUGCACUAUAAGCAGCAGCAGUGAGUGUGUGUCCCCUGUGUUUCGGUUUCUCCGCUCAUCUGGCUCACGGCUCACCGCUCGCUCUCUUCCUCACGAGCCUCGCAAUCGUGAGGCGACCAAACGGCAACCUGACCAUCAGUUUCGCGAGUGAACGUCGGAAGCGUCUCCUCGGGUUUUGUGCUGAGGCGCAGAUCUAGUGAGCCGGGGGUUUUUAGAGGGUCGUCGUCGUCGUCGUGGCCAGAAAUAUCGUCGAGGCAGCUUUCCCAAUCUCUGACAGGCAGAGGGAUGAGAAGAGCUCUGACCCCGACCAAAAAACACCGAGACCAACUUGCAAGGAGGAUGAGUGAGAAGAGCUGAGUGAGUUGUGUGAGUUGGAUUGUGUGUGUGUUUCCAAAGGGGAAGAAGAGGGAAUGAGAACACGAGCAAAAGACUGAGAGUAUAAAUGAGGUUUUUGUUGUAUUAUGUAUAAGAAGAAGCAAAAGAAGGGUGGAAAUUGAAGCCAACAGCAGCGCAGUGGGUAGAAUUCAUCGCAGAAGAUAUGGAAGCAGCAAGGAAAAACCCCCAGAAAAUGACAGGGAAAAAGCGACGGAGGAAUGAAUGUGCCAGCAACAGCAGCAGCAGCACUAGCGAGAUGUAAAAACGUGCAAGGGAGAGUGGAACAAGAUCCGAAGAAAUUUUCGAAACCACCAACAGAAACAAAAAGUUCUCAAAGCAAGUGGAUCUGGACAAAUAAAAAAAAAAGCAAGAGUUUUCGAAUUUGCAGAACAGUUAGAUUUUUUGUUAGAUGUUGUAAAUAACAGAAGAAAAACAAAUACAAAUCUGCCGAAAGCGAACUCUUCGAAUUCAAGUGGAACAGAAAGUGAUGCUGCAGAAACAGAUUCGGAUAACAAUUCUAAGAAUGUUGAAGAAGAAGAGAAAGAAGAACAUCAAGAAGAAGAAGAAGAAGAAGAAGAAGAGCAAGAUGAAGAAGAAAACGUUGCUGGAGAAGGCACAAAUGACGAAGAUGGCGAACAUGAAACCGAUGCUAAUUAUAACAGAGAUGGCCAAGGAUAUGCUGCUGAGGAAAACGAAAAAGAAGACGAGAAUAGGGCGAGUGAACUUAGAAGAUUUUUCAACAAUCCACUUGGGUUAGAUGCCGAAGAUCAAGAUUUUCUAGCCCGACUUUCUCCGGUUCAACAGCCACCUGAAAUCGAUACUGAUGAUUCGGCCUUAACGGCGAGAGCCACAGCUGAUUCAUCAAGAAUGACACGUGCAAAAGCAACGAGGAAGCGCAGACGUAGCCAAGGGCAGACUCAGUCAAAAAAUUCUUCGAGUUUAUCCCAGAACAAACAAAAAAAGUCACUUGCACAGCAAAAAGAA